CUGCGGUAGGUCAUUAUGGAACUCAUUAGAGUUGUGGCUGGGCUUUGUUAUGUGGACGCGCACUCGCUUGAUUACACCUAACAUCAUCACCUGUUUGCACCCUCGCUAGAUCCAUGACACUUAGAGCUUCUGACCCAGUCCUGUUGAGCUGCUUCUUUACACACUCCCCGCUAAAUUGUUGGACGGAAUGAACGUACCGUUUAAAGGAAUACAUGACAACUUCCAGCGACGGAUCUCUUGGCUCUCGCAUCGAUGAAAAACGCAGCGAAAUGCGAUAAGUAAUGUGAAUUGCAGAAUUCAGUGAAUCAUCGAAUCUUUGAACGCACCUUGCGCCCUUUGGCCAUUCCGAAGGGCAUGCCUGUUUGAGUAUCAUGAACACCUCAACUCUCAUGGUCUGCCGUGAUGAGUUUGGACUUUGGGGGAUUUGCUGGCCUUGGAUCGGCUCCUCUCAAAAGGAUCAGCUUGCCAGUGUUUGGUGGCAUCACAGGUGUGAUAACUAUCUUCGCUUGAGGUUUUCUCCCAUGGUAACCUCCAGUGAUGGAGGUUCACUGGAGCUUACAGAAUGUCCCUUCCCCUCUGGGAAGGACACUUUUUGAUUUUUUGCCCCCACAUCGGGUCGUCCUACACUUUGAAUUUUAAUAAGGGGAAAAAAAUAGAGAA
rnacentral:rRNA from 1 species